AACGAACGUUGGCGGCGUGGAUGAGGCAUGCAAGUCGAGCGUGAAAGCUCCCUUCGGGGAGUGAGUAAAGCGGCGGACGGGUGAGUAACACGUAAUCAAGCUACCCCCGAGCCGGGGAUAACCGCGGGAAACUGCGGCUAAUACCGGAUGGUCUUUGGCGACCGCAUGGUCCCCUUUGUAAAGGUGGGGAUCCUUCGGGACCUACCGCUCGGGGACGUGAUUGCGGCCUAUCAGCUUGUUGGUGAGGUAACGGCUCACCAAGGCUACGACGGGUAGCAGGCCUGAGAGGGUGGUCUGUCACACUGGGACUGAGACACUGCCCAG
rnacentral:rRNA from 1 species